rnacentral:rRNA from 1 species
UGCAUGGCGCACGAGGACCUCUGGGUCCACCUCCCACCCGUGUUUAUCGUACCUUGUUGCUUCGGCGGGCCCGCCGCAAGGCCGCCGGGGGGCAUCUGCCCUCUGGCCCGCGCCCGCCGAAGACACCAUUGAACGCUGUCUGAAGAUUGCAGUCUGAGCAAUUAGUUAAAUAACUUAAAACUUUCAACAACGGAUCUCUUGGUUCCGGCAUCGAUGAAGAACGCAGCGAAAUGCGAUACGUAAUGUGAAUUGCAGAAUUCAGUGAAUCAUCGAGUCUUUGAACGCACAUUGCGCCCCCUGGUAUUCCGGGGGGCAUGCCUGUCCGAGCGUCAUUGCUGCCCUCAAGCACGGCUUGUGUGUUGGGCUCCGUCCUCCUUCCGGGGGACGGGCCCGAAAGGCAGCGGCGGCACCGCGUCCGGUCCUCGAGCGUAUGGGGCUUCGUCACCCGCUCUGCAGGCCCGGCCGGCGCUUGCCGACACAUCAAUCUUUUUUCCAGGUUGACCUCGGAUCAGGUAGGGAUACCCGCUGAACUUAAGCAUAUCAAUAAGUGGAGGA